CCCCUAGACGUUCUGGGCUGCACGCGCGCUACAAUAAUACGCACAGCGAGUAUCACCGAGCUCGAAAGGGCAAGGUAAACAAUAGAAAAGGUACUGUAAUGGUUAUAGAUCCUUGUAAUUAUUGAUCUUCAACGAGGAAUUCCUAGUAAGUAUGUGUCAUCAUCACGCACUGAUUACGUCCCUGCCCUUUGUACACACCGCCCGUCGCUCCUACCGAUUGGGUGAGCCGAUGAAACUCUCGGAUGUAGGCUAUUCAUAGCCCGCAUAAGAGAUUUGAAUCGUAGCGCUUAGAGGAAGGAGAAGUCGUAACA
rnacentral:rRNA from 1 species